CACGUAGGGUGCGAGCGUUGUCCGGAAUUAUUGGCGUAAAGAGCUCGUAGGCGGUGUGUCGCGUCGGCCGUGAAAACCUGCAGCUUAACUGUGGGCUUGCGGUCGAUACGGGCAUCACUGGAGUUCGGCAGGGGAGACUGGAAUUCCUGGUGUAGCGGUGAAAUGCGCAGAUAUCAGGCAGGAACAGCCGGUGGCGGAAGGCGGGUCUCUGGGCCGAUACUGACGCUGAGGAGCGAAAGCGU
rnacentral:rRNA from 1 species